UGCAGUCGAGGGGCAGCGGGGAUGAAGCUUGCUUCAUCUGCCGGCGACCGGCGCACGGGUGAGUAACACGUAUGCAACCUGCCCGCCACAGGGGGAUAAACGCUGGAAACGGCGCCUAAUACCCCAUACUAUCGCUAUGCUGCAUGGCAUGGCGAUGAAAACUCCGGUGGUGGCGGAUGGGCAUGCGGCGCAUUAGCUAGUUGGAGGGGUAACGGCCCACCAAGGCGACGAUGCGUAGGGGUUCUGAGAGGAAGGUCCCCCACACUGGUACUGAGACACGGACCAGACUCCUACGGGAGGCAGCAGUGAGGAAUAUUGGUCAAUGGGCGGGAGCCUGAACCAGCCAAGUCGCGUGAGGGAAGACGGCCCUACGGGUUGUAAACCUCUUUAGUCGGGGAGCAAAAAGGACCACGCGUGGUCCAUUGAGCGUACCCGAAGAAUAAGCAUCGGCUAACUCCGUGCCAGCAGCCGCGGUAAUACGGAGGAUGCGAGCGUUAUCCGGAUUUAUUGGGUUUAAAGGGUGCGUAGGCGGUUUGUCAAGUCAGCGGUAAAAUUUCGGGGCUCAACCCCGUCGUGCCGUUGAAACUGACGGGCUGGAGUUGCAGCGGAGCAUGCGGAAUGCGCAGUGUAGCGGUGAAAUGCAUAGAUAUUGCGCAGAACUCCGAUCGCGAAGGCAGCGUGCUAGCUGCAAACUGACGCUGAGGCACGAAAGCGCGGGUAUCGAACAGGAUUAGAUACCCUGGUAGUCCGCGCAGUAAACGAUGGAUACUUGCCUUCCGCUCCGAAUGCGGAGUGCGAGGCGCAGCGAAAGCGUUAAGUAUCCCACCUGGGGAGUACGCCGGCAACGGUGAAACUCAAAGGAAUUGACGGGGGCCCGCACAAGCGGAGGAACAUGUGGUUUAAUUCGAUGAUACGCGAGGAACCUUACCCGGGCUCGAACGCAAGUUGACGAUAAGGGAAACCUUAUUUCCAGCAAUGGCAAUUUGCGAGGUGCUGCAUGGUUGUCGUCAGCUCGUGCCGUGAGGUGUCGGCUUAAGUGCCAUAACGAGCGCAACCCCCAUCCAUAGUUGCCCCCGGGUGAUGCCGGGCACUCUAUGGAGACUGCCGGCGCAAGCUGCGAGGAAGGCGGGGAUGACGUCAAAUCAGCACGGCCCUUACGUCCGGGGCGACACACGUGUUACAAUGGCGGGGCACAGCGGGAUGCUGCAUGGCGACAUGUGGCUGACCCCUAAAACCCGUCUCAGUUCGGAUUGGAGUCUGCAACCCGACUCCAUGAAGCUGGAUUCGCUAGUAAUCGCGCAUCAGCCACGGCGCGGUGAAUACGUUCCCGGGCCUUGUACACACCGCCCGUCAAGCCAUGGGAGCCUGGAGCGCUUGAAGUCCGCUGCCGCGAGGGGCGGCC
rnacentral:rRNA from 1 species